CCUACGGGGGGCUGCAGUGGGGAAUUUUGGACAAUGGGGGAAACCCUGAUCCAGCCAUGCCGCGUGCGGGAAGAAGGCCUUCGGGUUGUAAACCGCUUUCGGACGGAAAGAAAUCGCACGGGCUAAUACCCUGUGUGGAUGACGGUACCGUAAGAAGAAGCACCGGCUAACUACGUGCCAGCAGCCGCGGUAAUACGUAGGGUGCGAGCGUUCAUCGGGAUUACGGGGCGUAAUUCGUGCGCCAGCGGUUAAAUCCCCGGGCUUAACCUGGGAACUGCGUUUGUAACUGGGAGACUAGAGUGUGUCAGAGGGAGGUGGAAUUCCGCGUGUAGCAGUGAAAUGCGUAGAUAUGCGGAGGAACACCGAUGGCGAAGGCAGCCUCCUGGGAUAACACUGACGCUCAUGCACGAAAGCGUGGGGAGCAAACAGGAUUAGAUACCCUUGUAGUC
rnacentral:rRNA from 1 species